AACGAACGCUGGCGGCAGGCCUAACACAUGCAAGUCGAGCGCGCCCUUCGGGGUGAGCGGCGGACGGGUGAGUAACGCGUGGGAACGUGCCCUUUUCUACGGAAUAGCCUCGGGAAACUGAGAGUAAUACCGUAUACGCCCUUUGGGGGAAAGAUUUAUCGGAAAAGGAUCGGCCCGCGUUGGAUUAGGUAGUUGGUGGGGUAAUGGCCUACCAAGCCGACGAUCCAUAGCUGGUUUGAGAGGAUGAUCAGCCACACUGGGACUGAGACACGGCCCAGACUCCUACGGGAGGCAGCAGUGGGGAAUCUUAGACAAUGGGGGCAACCCUGAUCUAGCCAUGCCGCGGGAGUGAUGAAGGCCUUAGGGUUGUAAAGCUCUUUCAGCUGGGAAGAUAAUGACGGUACCAGCAGAAGAAGCCCCGGCUAACUCCGU
rnacentral:rRNA from 1 species